ensembl:lncRNA
GAUGCUAGUGGGAGGUGGACGGACACGUGGUGUCUCCUUUCAACCUUUCCGGAACUCUUCCGGUUGAUGGUGGCUUAUUAGUUCCAUAUUCCUUAUCAGGAUCUCCUGUCAUAAAACAACUCAUGCAAAUGGUUACUAUGGUGCCUGGCCAGGGUGGGUGGUUUCAAUCAGUGUGGUUCCCCUAACAACUCCCCCCUGAGAGACUUCAUACUCAAGAUACUUCUUGGGAAUUGGGGCAGAGGUCUCUUUCUUCUGUAACUUCUUCCUGCUGUGGACGGGCGUAGGCCUGCCUAACAGAGUAGAAGUCUUUCUCUGUCAGAUCUAAGUCAAGGUAUUUUUUGCCUGAAACCAGCAUUCACCCUUGUAAUAACAGCAGUUUAGUUUGAAACUGUUGGCCCCUCUCAGAGAUGAAAUAGACAGGGGCCAAACAGGAGACCUAACAGGAUUUUCAUUUGUGGUGACCCUCAAGAGUCUUCUCCAGCGCCACAAUUUGUAAGCAUCAAUUCUUCAGCACUCAGCCUUUAUGGUCCAACUCUAAUAUCCAUACAUGACUACUGGAAAACCCAUAGCUUUGACUACCUGGACCUUUGUCGGCAAAGUGAUGAUUCUGCUUUUUAAAGUGCUGUCUAGGUUUGUCAUAGCUUUCCUUCAAAGGAGGAAGCACCUUUAAAUUUUAUGGCUGCAGUCAACGUCCACAGUGAUUUUGGAGCCCAAGGGAAAAAAAAAUCUAUCACUCUUUCCACCUUUUCUCCAUCUAUUUGCCAUGAAGUGAUGGGACUGGAUGCCAUGAUCUCAGUUUUCUUAACGCUGAGUUUCAAGCCAGCAUUCUCACCCGCCUCUUUCACCCUCAUCAAAAGGCUCUUUAGUUCCUCUUCAUUUUCUGCCAUUAGAGUGGUGUCAUCUGCGUAUCUAAGGUUGUUAAUAUUUCUCCUGGCAAUCUUGAUUCCAGCCAGGUAUUUCGCAUGAUGUACUCUGCAUAUAAGUUAAAUAAGCAGAGUGGCAAUAUACAGCCUUGUCCUAUGUCUUUCCCAAUUUUGAACCAGUUGUUUCAUGUCUGGUUCUAACUGUUGCUUCCUGACCUGCAUACAGGUUUCUCAGGAGACAGAUAAAAUUCUUUAAGAACUUUCCACAGUUUUUUGUGAUCCACACAGUCAAAGGCUUUAGCAGUCAAUAAAGCAGAAUUUCCGAAAUUCCCUUGCUUUCUCCAUGAUCCAAUGAAUGUUGGCAAUUUGGUCUUUGAUUCCUCUGCUUCUUUGAAACCCAGCUUGUACAUCUGGAAGUUCUCAGUUCACGUACUGCUGAAGCCUGGCUUGAAAGGUUUUGAGCAUCACUUUGCUCCAAUGCAUUAUGCACUAUGUGGAAUGAGUGCAAUUUGUACAGUAGUUUGAACAUUCUUUGGCGUUACCCUUCUUUGGGAUUGGAAUGAGAACUGACCUUUUCCAGUACUGUGGCCACAGCUGAAUUUUCCGAAUUUGCUGACAUACUGAGUACCACACUUUUAGUGCACAGUUAAUAAUACCUGCAGGGACCAAGGAGUGGGUCCUUACUUGUUCCAGGGGACCUUCUUCUCAGGAAAGUUAGAAAUGGCCUUGGGUGUCUAGAGUUUGCCCAGCUUCUUACCCAUGUUAUCCAGCUCAGGGCUGGGAGGAACAAGCUCCCUUGGAGUGAAGGUCAAGAAGAAAAGGGCUUGCAUGCCCAUUGCUGACUUCUGAGCCAGGGUCCUAGUUCUGCUUCUUGGGACCGCAUAAAACAAGUUCACGUUUUCGUCAUGACGCCCCUCCAGAUAUCUCCUACCCCAGCUACUGUGCAGCCUGACACCCUGGGGGAAGCGUGUGCAGUUCAGGAACACAGUGUUCUUCUGAGCAUUUGGUAAGGGGAGAGAGAAGCAUGUUGGGGGGAGGAAGUGGGGGAAACUGGGAAAUCUUCCACUUAUCCCUUGGGCUGGGCAUGUCGCUCUCCUGACAGUUCACACUCUCACCGUCCCAGGCAGCCCUGGCCAAGCUCUGUUGCCUCC